UACGUAGGGCGCAAGCGUUGUCCGGAAUCAUUGGGCGUAAAGAGCUCGUAGGUGGCUUGUCGCGUCGGAUGUGAAAGCCUGGGCUUAACUCCAGGUCUGCAUUCGAUACGGGCUGGCUAGAGGUAGGCAGGGGAGAACGGAAUUCCUGGUGUAGCGGUGAAAUGCGCAGAUAUCUGGAGGAACACCGGUGGCGAAGGCGGCGAUCCUGGACCGGCAGU
rnacentral:rRNA from 1 species